rnacentral:lncRNA from 1 species
UACAUUUAUGGGGUUUAAACAAACAAAUGGAUACAGGCUCAAAUGGGGUUUACAGUGGAUAUAAUCAUUUAGGAUGGCUAGAAAGGCUCGGGGUUAUUUUCAAACAAAGUGCCUCAGUGUGUGUAAUCAUACAGUGACAGUCCCAGAGAAUCUACGCAAAUUUAGAGUGAUAAAGACAAACCCGAAUAUCACUUAUGAUGAUCAAUGUGUUUGGCUUUUUAUGACUCACCCUAUUUGGUUAAGCU